GAGAUCGUGCGGCUGCACUCCAGCCUGGGCAACAGAGUGAGACUCUGUCUCAAAAAAAAAGUGUGUUCUUUAAAGUAGAAUAUUUGCUUUUUACAAUAUAGUUCUCAGAAUGAUCCAGUUCCAUUUAUUCUAGAAUGCGGUGCAAACUUGACGAGAUUGGAAGAAGCUCUUCUUGUUGGGCAGUGUAGUAACAAGAAAAGAAAAGAAAAAUACCAUGGGUAUAUUAUUUAGGGAACUUUUGCUUUAUCCAAAAGUAGUCAUGAUUGCUGUAGCAUAGGCUAUGAAAAAUGAGAGAGUGCAAAUCUCUCUCAUUUAAAUGUCCAGGGUGGCUUUAGUCUCCCAAGUACAAAGGCCAGAUGGCAGAGAACAGCUUAAACUGAGCCUUUAGCCUCAUUAAUAGGGGGAAGUCUUGGUACUUUUGGCAACUAAGAAACUGGAUUAUUUAAAACCUUAAUUAUCUCCUUUACUCCUGGUUUACAGAAGGCAAUAAAUGUACAACUCCUUUAGAUCCCUCUAACUGCUGCUGAAUUUUCUUUAUUUCUAAGUCUGCAUCCUAUCUCUUGAUUGCAUUGUCUGAAGAAGCUGUGUGAAAUUUGUCUGGUCAUUGGUUUUCUUGUCUGAUAGUGGUAUCUUGAUCUCUUCACAUGUCACACUAAAUGCUGCUUAUAACCCAUCCUCGUCAUCUUUACUCAUCACUGCUUUCUUCAAGGGAGGUCUUGAAACUGCCUUACCUACCUCAUGAUCUGCUAGUCGAAAUAGUGACUCUUUGGAAGAUUGGUAGUCUCUGAAUGAAUUAUCCAAUGUCUGCUUCCCCACAUUAACUGCAUUGCAUAGUUUUGGGAACUUUGCAGGUGCUAAAUCUUCAUGGCCAUGAAGAUGAAACACCUUGAGAAAUGGGAACACCUCUUCACUGUGUACUUGGAUCAGCCUUCUUUCAACUACCAAGAAAUGCAUGAUUUCUCUGCCAACUCCAGGAAGUAGUACAGCACGAUUGAAUCCUUCAGUGAAUCUCUUCAUCAUAACAUAGGGUGUAAAAGCUCGCAUCUACUCAAAAAACUCAAAUCUACUUUUUCAGUAGAUAGGAGCUUACAUUGACUUAUGAAUGAUUUUCUUGUAGGCCCAACUGUGUCACGACCCUCCAGUUGAAACAAAGCAUGAGUUAUUUUUAUAUUGAGUCCUUAAACUGCUAGCCAGGUAGAUGUUUUCUUAAAGUCUAGAGCAGGAUCCAAGUCAGAUGAAGGAGGUGGCACACCUGGCUUAACUGCAGAUCAGGGAGCAUUGAACCUCUACAAUUUGCUGCAUUGGAUUUGUGCUUGGGUUUCUCACUGAAUAGUAAAUUAGAGAAAAUGCUGCUUUUACUAUUUUGCAUUUUAUAUCAACAUUAGCAGCCUGUUCCCACUCGGGUGCUGUCCAAGGCACAUGUUUCCUUGGGAUGUUUGGACAGAACGAUCUGGCUUGAUGUAUUUCUUGGGCUCUGGUACCACAUCAUAGAGUUGGUUAAAUGUAGCCAGCAGCAGUGUCAAGACAGCUGACACUGUCUUCCAAGAGUGAAUGUGUUGGCCUUUGGAACUGCUGCUAACGCCAUGUGUAGGGUGGCGAGCACAUCUUUAGGUGGUGGCAAGGCUGUAUCUGAUUGACACAGAUCUGCAAUCCCUAACACCAUAUUGCUGUUGUCCUGAAUUUUCUAACUUGGAGAAAUUUAAGGAUCUCCUGCAUUAUCUAGGCAGAGCAUAUGUUGAGGUUGUUUUGCCAGUUGUUAUCAGUGUUUAAGAAGUGCUCCUGCAAACAAACUGUGUUAAAAGGAUUAUGACCUCAUAUGCAUCUGAUGUACACUGUGUUUUGGUGUUUGUGUUUUUAGAGUUCUAGCCAGUACUGUGCCUGAACUUGGGAGAGAAAGGAGCCUGUGGCUGAGGUUGAUUUUGAUGGCCGCUGAUCAUGUGCAGAUGAUGGAAGCUCAUUUCCUUCCAUGAACCAGGAGCAUGCUCGCCUCUUCUUUUAAGUUGACCCACACAGUCUCUGAUGUCUUCUUUUUGGGAAAGGGUAAUCAGAUAAGGAUUAUGAGAAGCCUCCCUGACUGGAGACUAGAAAGAGUCUCACAUCUUCUGCUACCACAUGAAUAGACUAAAAAGAAAGAAGAGUCCCAGAUGGGGCCAAGUGGUGACCUGUAGCUAUUUCAGCUCAGAAUGUCAGCCUCUAAAGCAUCAGGUUUGAAUGACUUUGGUGUCAUGGGAUUCUGUCCAUUGUCCGUUUGAGUCUGCUGACAUGCUUCCUCUGGAAAGUGCAGUUUGGCAUGGACGAGUCAGUGGUUUUUUAUUUUGGGGUGUUUUUUAAAAAAUAAAAAUGAAUUACUUUGAGAAUUUUUUAGCAUCUCCUGAUUGUUUCAAAACCAAGGCCGAGAACUGUCGCAGGCAAGAACUUGUGUGCCGAACUCUGAAGGAGCCACCACCCGCAGCACCAGUGGCCACCCACUGUCUCCAUCCAGUGCCUUCUGCCUCAGAGAUUGGGAAUGAAUGGUGCCCAGACUCUUCCUAGCUGAAGAAAUGGGAGGAAGAGUGCCCAGCUGGAGAGAUCAAACACCCGUCCCUUCAGUUCACAGCAGAGCCAGGGUUUAUGACCAGACCCCUCCCUGCUGCGACCAACCCCAUCCCGCCGCCACUGUCGCGUUUACAGCGCCUUUUCAACAGUCCCCAUCCCACUCCCCAAAGCUGCCAAAUUGGUUUAUUUUUACCUACUGGGUUGGAAAAGGGGCAAAGGCUGAGGCUGGGGCAGUUCUGUGGCGCCAGCUGAGGCUUAAAUACAAUGAGAAAGUCCCACCCUGCCAGCUCUGCCUGAAGAGAACCCAGUAGGAAAUAAAUAGCGCUGUGUGCCCUGC